rnacentral:rRNA from 1 species
CCUUACCAGGUCUUGACAUCCUCUGACAACCCUAGAGAUAGGGCUUCUCCUUCGGGAGCAGAGUGACAGGUGGUGCAUGGUUGUCGUCAGCUCGUGUCGUGAGAUGUUGGGUUAAGUCCCGCAACGAGCGCAACCCUUGAUCUUAGUUGCCAUCAUUAAGUUGGGCACUCUAAGGUGACUGCCGGUGACAAACCGGAGGAAGGUGGGGAUGACGUCAAAUCAUCAUGCCCCUUAUGACCUGGGCUACACACGUGCUACAAUGGACGGUACAAAGAGCUGCAAGACCGCGAGGUGGAGCUAAUCUCAUAAAACCGUUCUCAGUUCGGAUUGUAGGCUGCAACUCGCCUACAUGAAGCUGGAAUCGCUAGUAAUCGCGGAUCAGCAUGCCGCGGUGAAUACGUUCCCGGGCCUUGUACACACCGCCCGUCACACCACGAGAGUUUGUAAC